rnacentral:rRNA from 1 species
CACGUAGGGGCCAAGCGUUGUCCGGAUUUAUUGGGCGUAAAGAGCUCGUAGGCGGUUCGGUAAGUCGGGUGUGAAAACUCUGGGCUCAACUCAGAGACGCCACCCGAUACUGCCGUGACUCGAGUCCGGUAGGGGAGUGGGGAAUUCCUGGUGUAGCGGUGAAAUGCGCAGAUAUCAGGAGGAACACCGGUGGCGAAGGCGCCACUCUGGGCCGGUACUGACGCUGAGGAGCGAAAGCGUGGGUAGCAAACAGG